AGGACGAACGCUGGCGGCGUGCUUAACACAUGCAAGUCGAGCGGAAAGGCCCUUCGGGGUACUCGAGCGGCGAACGGGUGAGUAACACGUGAGCAACCUGCCCCUGGCUCUGGGAUAGCCUCCGGAAACGGGGAUUAAUACCGGACAUGACCCUUGACCGCAUGGUUGGGGGUGGAAAGUUUUUCGGCCAGGGUGGGCUCGCGGCCUAUCAGCUUGUUGGGGGGUGACGGCCCGACCAAGGCGACGACGGGUAG
rnacentral:rRNA from 1 species